AUACGGAGGGGGUUAGCGUUGUUCGGAAUUACUGGGCGUAAAGCGCACGUAGGCGGACUGGAAAGUUGGGGGUGAAAUCCCGGGGCUCAACCCCGGAACUGCCUCCAAAACUUCCAAUCUAGAGAUCGAGAGAGGUGAGUGGAAUUCCAAGUGUAGAGGUGAAAUUCGUAGAUAUUUGGAGGAACACCAGUGGCGGAGGCGGCUCACUGGCUCGAUACUGACGCUGAGGUGCGAAAGCGUGGGGAGCAAACAGGAUUAGAAACCCUAGUAGUCC
rnacentral:rRNA from 1 species